rnacentral:ncRNA from 1 species
AAUUGAAAGUUAGGGAAAAAGAAAGAGAAAUGACUUAGUGGCCAAGCGUUCAUAGCGAAGUUGCUUUUUGAUCCUUCGAUAUCGGCUCUUCCUAUCAUUGUGAAGCAGAAUUCACCAAGUGUUGGAUUGUUCACCCACCAAUAGGAAACGUGAGCUGGAUUUAGACCGUGGUGAGACAGGUUAGUUUUACCCUACUGAUGACCAUGCUGCGAUAGUAAUUCAAUCUAUUAUGAGAGAAACCGUUGAUUCACACAAUUGGUUAUCGCGUUUGUUUGAAAAGUCUAUGGUGCGAAGCUACCGUGUGUUCGAUUAUGACUGAACGCCUCUAAGUCAGAAUUCAAGCUAGUAAUGCGGUAAAAUUUUCUUUUUUCUAGUGUCGUCCUAAAGUACGUGUGCUUUGUGCUCCCUUAGCCUCAUGUCAUGGGUUAAGUUACAAUAAUUGAUUAAUUUUAAUGGUAUCAGAGCGUUCUCUUCUACCAGUAUUAUAGAUUAUGUGUAAAGUAAUAGAAUAAAUAUGAAUGGUUGUUC